UAGAUACCCUGGUAGUCCACGCCGUAAACGAUGAUUACUCGUUUUUGGGUUUUAGGAUUCAGAGACUAAGCGAAAGUGAUAAGUAAUCCACCUGGGGAGUACGUUCGCAAGAAUGAAACUCAAAGGAAUUGACGGGGGCCCGCACAAGCGGUGGAGCAUGUGGUUUAAUUCGAUGAUACGCGAGGAACCUUACCAAGACUUAAAUGGGAAAUGACAGAUUUAGAAAUAGAUCCUUCUUCGGACAUUUUUC
rnacentral:rRNA from 1 species